rnacentral:rRNA from 1 species
AGUGAACGCUGGCGGUAGGCCUAACACAUGCAAGUCGGACGGCAGCACAGUAAGAGCUUGCUCUUACGGGUGGCGAGUGGCGGACGGGUGAGGAAUACAUCGGAAUCUACUUUUUCGUGGGGGAUAACGUAGGGAAACUUACGCUAAUACUGCAUACGACCUACGGGUGAAAGCAGGGGAUCUUCGGACCUUGCGCGAUUGAAUGAGCCGAUGUCGGAUUAGCUAGUUGGCGGGGUAAAGGCCCACCAAGGCGACGAUCCGUAGCUGGUCUGAGAGGAUGAUCAGCCACACUGGAACUGAGACACGGUCCAGACUCCUACGGGAGGCAGCAGUAGGGAAUAUUGGACAAUGGGCGCAAGCCUGAUCCAGCCAUACCGCGUGGGUGAAGAAGGCCUUCGGGUUGUAAAGCCCUUUUGUUGGGAAAGAAAAGCAGCAGGUUAAUACCCCGCUGUUCUGACGGUACCCAAAGAAUAAGCACCGGCUAACUUCGUG